rnacentral:rRNA from 1 species
GUAGUCAUAUGCUUGUCUCAAAGAUUAAGCCAUGCAUGCCUAAGUAUAAGCAAUUAUACCGCGAAACUGCGAAUGGCUCAUUAAAUCAGUUAUCGUUUAUUUGAUAGUACCCUUACUACUUGGAUAACCGUGGUAAUUCCAGAGCUAAUACAUGCUGAAAAUCCCGACUCACGAAGGGAUGUAUUUAUUAGAUUAAAAACCAAUGCCCUCUGGGGCUCAGUGGUGAUUCAUAAUAACUUCUCGAAUCGCACGGCCUUGCGCCGGCGAUGGUUCAUUCAAAUUUCUGCCCUAUCAACUUUCGACGGCUGGGUCUUGGCCAGCCGUGGUGACAACGGGUAACGGGGAAU